GUUUUGAAGAAAAAUCAGCAAGGUAUCUGUUAUCAAGAUGAUACUGAUAAUUAUAGAUAUUCUGAUAUUCAUAUUAAUAAAUAUUCUAUCUGUUAUACAUGCACAUGAAUUACAUCUAACUUGCUGUCUAAUUAAUACCCUUUUUGAUUAUUUUUCUUAGUUAAGUGAUUCCUAUAUUUUACUGUUCUUCGAUCAUUUAAAAAUAAUUUAGGAUGGGGAAAAGGGGGGAGAGAUUUUUGAUUUGCAAUACAUGGACUGAAUUAACUGUAUAAAAUAUAUAAGAAAUAACCAGAAAUUGUAAAUUUUCAAGUUAAAGGGUAUAUAUAGAAAUUAGGCAAAACAAUGUCUCUGUUUUCAUGUGACAUGUUUGUUUUGAGAAAAAAAUGUGUGGAGAAACAGGAAUUUUGGUUGGCAAUAAUGUUUCAAUGGACAUGAUGGAUAGACUAGAAAAAAACAGAGGAAUUAUAAAAUGUUUCAUUUGGGAAA
rnacentral:lncRNA from 1 species